GUUGUUGCCAGUUAGAUGUGAGUAGGAGGUGUGGGUUCUCUCCGUAACUCAAGCCUUCUCAGGUGAUGCAGUCCUGGGAGAAGCUGAGCAGGUGUUAUCUUAGAAUCAUCAUAGAUGCGGAAAAUGGUUUGGGUUGGAAGGCACCUUAAAGACUUCCUUGUUCCAACCUCCUGCCACAGCCAGGAACACCUUCUACUAGACCAGGUUGCCCCAAGCACCAUCCAGCCCAACCUUGGAUAGUUCUAGGGAUGCGGUAAGUCACAGCUUCCCUGGACAACUUGUUCCAUCUUCCCAAUAAAGAAUUUUUUUCUAAUAUCUAAUAUAAACCUGUUUUCUUUGAGUUUGAACCUGUUCCCCCGUAUCCUGUCACAACAUGGUCUUGUAAGUUGUCUUGUCCCAUUUUUCCUUCAAGUUCCCUUCAGACACAGGAAAGUCACACACAACGAAACUACCCCGAAGCCUUCUCUUUUCCAGGCUGGACAAUCCCAAUUCCUUCAGCCAUGUGCCAAGGAGAGGUGCUCCAUCUCUCUCAUCAACCUGGUUGCCCUCCUUGGAGGUGUAACUGUUACAGGCAGGUGUAUCAAACCCUCUUUUUGCCCACGCUGAGUAACAAACCUUCCCAGCAGAACUAUUCUAGAGGAGAAAUGUUUUGUCGCACUGACUCAGUUUAGCGUGGUGUUAUCUCUGGUAUGUAGACAGAAACAUUUUUUUUUUUAAUAGGAAGUUAAAAUGAGUAACACCUAAUGGAGUGACAAAGCAGAAUUUCCAAGGAGUACAGUCGUGAGAAGCAUCAACGCCAGUAACUUGAGGAAUUAUGUAUUUUUUUUUUCCCUGCUCUGGCUAGUCAGUGAUUAUGAAAGAGUGAGGAGAAGGCUGAUUUGCAUGAGAAAUACCCUUAGGAUAAUGCAGCAUUUUGUUUCACAGGUUUUUGGGUUCAAAAAUCCUGGUAAAGUUGUUUUCCAGUAACUUUCCACUGUUCUGCACCUCUGAAUUCUUGACACUGUAAAGCUAUGGAAAUGUGAAAAUAUCACAAAGGAGACAGUUCUUCAUAGGUUUUACCUAGGCAGAUGUGAAGGAAUAAUGCUGGCAGUCUGUGAGUGGAGUUCCUUGUGGCUCACCGUGACUCAGACCAGCACGGAGGCUGCUCAAGGGUUCCUCACCUAAUGAGGCACUGUGGAACCCAUACCACAUCAGGUCACGUGAAGUUCUAAGUUAAAAGAGCCCUUAGGAGCUGUGUAAGUACACGGCAACUGAUGAGCACGGAGCAUCUGUGGCAAAGGAAAAAAACACCGUCUUCAAAUUUUGAGGAGCAAACAUGACCCUUUCUUUUUCUACUGUUUUCCACCCACGUUCAGUUAGUGUGAGAGAAGAAAGAAAAUGUAAAAAAAAAAAAAAAAAAAAAAAGGCAGAAAUAUUUUCUUUGCAGGGAAGGACCGAAGAAUGUAUUGUUCUCUCAUUCACAAGCAAGCACUUUCAUCACCUCUACUUCCAUUUUGCUCUACAUCAUAAGUGACAGCGAGUUUUCUGUAUUUUGCUGGUAUAACUUAGAAGGGGUCAUGAUUCUAAAAGUUCUCCUGCAGAACUGAGUCUUCUGUUUGGAUAUAUGCAAAUUCUACAGCGCUUAUGCCACUUGUACUUUGCAGAUAGGUAUAAGCAUAUGCAAAAAUGGAGAUUAUAUGUGUACAUGCAAGUUUUCAGAAUUAAUCAACCAAGAAUGUACAAAAACUACAAAUGCUUUGCUGAAAUUUGGCUCAAAAUAGAUUUCUGAAUUAGCCUGCUGUAGCAGCUUUCACUCAAGCUUGCUAAAUACACUCAAUUUUUAUAAAUAAUUAAUAACUUAUAAGAUUUGCAUGAUGAUGGGGCUUGGAGCAACCUGGUCUAGUGGAAGGUGUCCCUGCCUGUGGAAAGGGCAUUGGAAGGAGAUGCUCUUUAAGGUCACUUUUAACUGAAACCAUUCCAUGAAUCUAUGAUAAUACCAUUGCCCCAGAAAAGCAUUUUAGCAAUAUAUCCCAAUCUUGGGAGGACCUGGUGGUACUUUUGUCUAUUCAAAAUUGCAGUAGUAGUGUUUUUAUAAGUAUAAAUUGCUGUUGGCCUGGAGCGCCUCCAGGAUUAGAUCUUAAUCCUCAAAGAUAUGUAAGUGCUCCCACCUUCUUUUUUGAGAUUGAAAACAGGAAACUGCAUGGGUUAAAAAUCGAGUAAAUAACUAAAAUUUAGGCUCCAAACUUAUCAAGUGUAUUGCAAGCACUGUCACAAACCCUUCUUGGAGUCACCAUCAUGUCAGUUGUUGAUGUAAAUAUUUUUGAAGAAAAAUCAAAGCUCUGAACUUGCCUAAAUCCUGUGUUUCAGAGGAUGGCCAGAGUACAGAAUAGAUCCCUCAAACACAUCUGAUUAUUUCUGUUAUUAUGAACUGAAGCAAAGGGUCCUUGAAUAUUUCUCACAAUUCAGCAGACAAAAAAAAAAAAAAAGCAAUGUUUUACUUCAGUCUACCUUUUACUAGAGCUGGGUACAAUGGGAUGUGAUUAUUUUAGGAACAUUAAAAAUAUCUACUAUCUUCCUCCCAUGCUAGGUAGAAUAGUAGUCUGAAGUAGUUUUGCUUUGUAAUUUUCUGAAACGAAGAAUUCUGACUUAACCAAACCUCUUCAGAAGGAAGCUAGCUGAUAUUAUCUUACUUCCCUCUUUUCUUAUUGUGGAAUUGUUGAGAGAAUGCCAGUUGUUGCUACUUGUCAUCACAACUUUCUAGUCCAUAUUAUUGCUCGUUAGAGGCAAUAAAUGUUAACCAGUAGACUACUUAAAACUUACCAGUCUGCAGAAUUUGAAUGCAUAGGUAAUAAAAUGAAAAUUUUAAA